GAUGUAAAUGCAAUCUGGUUGGGAUAACUCUCACCCCAUCUAUCCCCAGGGCUGAGUCAGCAGAUCUGGUUAACUAGACAGGUGUCCCCAUCCUCCUUCCUGGCUC
rnacentral:sRNA from 1 species